rnacentral:rRNA from 1 species
GACGAACGCUGGCGGCGUGCUUAACACAUGCAAGUCGAACGGAAAGGCCCUGCUUUUGUGGGGUGCUCGAGUGGCGAACGGGUGAGUAACACGUGAGUAACCUGCCCUUGACUUUGGGAUAACUUCAGGAAACUGGGGCUCAUACCGGAUAGGAGCUCCUGCUGCAUGGUGGGGGUUGGAAAGUUUCGGCGGUUGGGGAUGGACUCGCGGCUUAUCAGCUUGUUGGUGGGGUAGUGGCUUACCAAGGCUUUGACGGGUAGCCGGCCUGAGAGGGUGAACGGCGACAUUGGGACUGAGAGACGGCGCAGACGCCUACGGUAGGCAGCAGUGGGGAAUAUUGCGCAAUGGGCGGAAGCGUGAUGCAGCAACGCCGCGUGCGGGAUGACGGCCUUCGGGUUGUAAACCGCUUUCGCCUGUGACGAAGCGUGAGUGACGGUAAUGGGUAAAGAAGCACCGGCUAACUACGUG